UACGAAGGACCCAAGCGUUAUCCGGAUUUAUUGGGUUUAAAGGGUGCGUAGGCGGAUUAUUAAGUCAGUGGUGAAAGCCUUCAGCUUAACUGAAGAACUGCCCAUUGAUACUGAUGAUCUUGAAUAUGAUUGAGGUGGGCGGAAUGUGUCAUGUAGCGGUGAAAUGCUUAGAUAUGACACAGAACACCGAUUGCGAAGGCA
rnacentral:rRNA from 1 species